GGGGGCGUUCUUGGAUUCGACGGGAAUGUGAGGCUCUAGGUGCAUGUCGAAGAUGAAAGAACUUCGUUAAUCCCUUUCAAAAAAAUAGUCGCAAACGACGAAAACUACGCUUUAGCUGCUUAAUUCCAGCUAACGUUUGCCUAGAUUUGUUCGUAGAUUUAACGCAAACGUCAUUCAUACGAAACCGCUCUUUUGCUCGCUUGUGGCAAUGGGGUUAAAUCAAGCAAGCUCGUUGGGUUAAUGCCUGUACGUUGGCUGUAAUCCGAUUAAAUCCUAAUCAACGAUACUAAACAUGUAGUACCGACAGUGUAGUGUUUUCGGACGGGGGUUCAAAUCCCCCCGCCUCCACCA
rnacentral:tmRNA from 1 species